AGCAGACGUUGAACUCGCCUCCUCCCACGAGCACAACCAGGUUACAACAAUUUUGGGAAGAAUCACCCUGGAUUGAAAACGGAAAACUGGAUAAAAAGAACCCCCACGACAAGGGACAGUCCUGACGAAAGCAGAAGAAGGAGUGACUCGGGCCGGAGAGGAAAAAAGCCACCUUUGGGAGCAGCGGAGCCUCUCAGCUGGCCAGGCGGGAGCCAACCUAAGAAUCUACUUGGAAGAAAGAGUCAUAAACCAAGCAGAUAAAGUACCAAGGGAAGGCAGAGAAGGGAGAGAGGAAUUCUGCUGAGAGAUAAUCCUUCACACAAUUGAUCCUAACCUUGAAGGAUGAAUACAUAGACCAAGAGGAAGAAAGUCCUUUCCAGGCGUCUCUGAAGUGAAGGUGACUCCUGCUUUAUAUGAUAAAUAGACUUCCAUCCAGGAGCGGAUUCUGAAUUGCUGAACAGAAGGAGCUUGGGAGCAGCUCUCCAGUCGGAUGAGUUCACGUGUGUGGGGAGCAGAGGGCAGGUUCUAAGGGACUUGCCUGAAGCUGUGCCUGCAUUCCAGGCGUACAGUUUUUAUGUGGAUUGUAUGUUUAAUGUGGGGUGGUUUGGGGAAAAUAUUGAAAAUUUGGGCAAAUAUUCCUACAACCCCAAACCAAUGGUAAAAAAAAAAAAGACUAUCACAAUUUGGGGACCAUUACUUCCAUAAUCAAGACCUUGAUUACACCAAUAUGCUAAUAUAUAUAAGUGCAUCUCAUCUUUAUCAACAAUUAUCUAUUUUAUCUUAAAUCUUUUAGAAAAAAAGGAAGACUAUGGAAAAGUAUAAAAACAUAUUGACUAAAAUA
rnacentral:lncRNA from 1 species